rnacentral:tRNA from 1 species
AAGGCUUUAAGUUAAACGAAACUAAAAGCCUUCAAAGCUUUAAAUAAAGAGAGUUCUUUAAGCCUUA